UUUUUGCAUUAGGGAUAGUAGUGGCAUCCUUUUGCCUUUUAGCAAAAGAUAUAACGGAUAGCCCGACACUUU
rnacentral:sRNA from 1 species